rnacentral:rRNA from 3 species
GGACUACAGGGGUAUCUAAUCCCGUUUGCUCCCCUGGCUUUCGCGCCUCAGCGUCAGAAGAGGUCCAGCGAGCCGCCUUCGCCACCGGAGUUCCUGUGAAUAUCAACGCAUUUCACCGCUCCACUCACAGUUCCGCUCGCCCCUACCUCCCUCGAGGCCGUCAGUAUCUGAGGCAGUUCCACGGUUGAGCCGCGGGAUUUCACCCCAGACUUGACAGCCCGCCUACGCGCCCUUUAAGCCCAGUGAUUCCGAACAACGUUCGCACGGUUCGUCUUACCGCGGCGGCUGGCAC